UACGUAGGGUGCAAGCGUUAUCCGGAAUUAUUGGGCGUAAAGAGCUCGUAGGCGGUUUGUCGCGUCUGCUGUGAAAACUGGAGGCUCAACCCCGGGCCUGCAGUCGAUACGGGCAGACUAGAGUGCGGUAGGGGAGACUGGAAUUCCUGGUGUAGCGGUGAAAUGCGCAGAUAUCAGGAGGAACACCGGUGGCGAAGGCGGGUCUCUGGGCCGUAACUGACGCUGAGGAGCGAAAGCGUGGGGAGCGAACAGG
rnacentral:rRNA from 1 species